AUCCAUGGAUUCCAUGUCUUGGGAUGGAAAAAAGUUUGCAUGGAUUUUGAGUUACAUUGACUGCCAGAAGACAAGAAAACUUUAAAAAAUAUCUAGGGUCAUACUGAAAAGACAAAAGAGAUAGUUUUUAAAAACUUCUACUUGCCAAGUUAUAACAGUUUGAAUAUCAAAACAGAAUAUUAACCAUAGCUAAUUGGAAUGAAUUGAAUCUAUAUGAAAGUUAUGGCAUUCCAAGACAAAAUAAGUUCAUUAAAGAUGAUAAUUAUGAUACAAAAGAAGAAUGAAUACAAUUUUUAAGUUAACCAAAAUUAGUAGCGGACUAUUGACAUAUAUGAUGUUCUGUUUUUCAGAUGCAUGUGUGUAUUUUUUUACCUACCUCUGUGCAUAAUGGAGAGGGAUGGGCAAAAUAGUUCUCAAAGGGGAUGGGAAUUGCACAAAGAGCAGAAGGGCCUAUAACCUCAAUGGACCAUGGACAAGAACUAGGUGGAAAGCAUGGCAGUGGGUUGCCAUAUGAUGGAUUGUUCAAAAUUUAGAAAGAAGAGCUGAUAGUUCAACUUAGCUUCUUGUCUCCUAGAAAAUGAAACCUCUAGAUGACUCAACUGAUUUUACUGAGAUACAAAAACUAUAUAAUGAGUUAAAUUGUAAAUCAAAGCUACACAUCCUCCAUUAGUUUGCUAGGGCUGUUGUAACACAGCACCACAGACUUAAACAGAAAUUUAUUUUCUCACAGUCUAGAAGCUAAAAGUCUGAGAUCAAGGUGUCAGCAGUUUCUUUCUGAAGGCUGAGAGGGAGAAUCUGUUUCCUGGCCUUUCCACUCGGCUUAUAGAUACCAUCUUCUCCCUGUGUCUUCACAUUAUCUUCCCUCUGUAUGUGUCUAUGUCCCAAUUUCCUCUUCUUGUAAGGACACCAGUCAUAUUGGAUUAGGGUGCACCCUAAUGACCUCACUUUCAUUUAAUUACCUCUUUAAAGAUUCUGACUCCAAAUACAGUUAUAUUCUGAGGAACUAUGGGUUAGGACUUCAAGCUAUGAAUCUUUGGAAGGACAGAAUUCAGCCUAUAACAUGUCCCAUGACAUGGAUGUGACGAAAGAAGACAGCAGAGGCACCAAGUUGCAGGAAAAGGCAUGGCUGUGGACGUUCUCGUUGACACAAGGAGUCAAUCUUGAUUCUAAGAGGAGCCCAGAUGAUGUCAAGGUUCAUGUGGAAGAUGGGCUCAUAGAUCCAUGCAGAGUCAUCUGAGUCUGCACUGGUAUUAGCCAAUGACUAGUCUGGUAUGCACUCUGAACCGAAGACUGCCCUGGGGUCAGCAUCUGGACUGCCAUGACUGGAGUUCAAGGUCCUGGCUUUUCUGCUGAGGGACCAGAGUUCUCACACACUGUGUCUUCUUUCAAGUCAUGACUCUGAAAAUAAAAGAGCCAUCUGAGAAAUACUAAGAAGAAGACAUUCACAGAGUGUUCUGGAUCUUUUAUCCAAACCUGGGGACUGAGUGGGAGAGAAUGGAGCUUCGUAGAGCUUGAAGAAGGAGAAAGGUUGGGCUCAGGAAGCAAGAGUUACUUUCCCAGGAUCACACAGCAUGUACAUGGCUAAACGGGAAUUGAUAGCCCGCUCAUGUUCCUCCAGGACCAGGGCCUGUAAUCAG
ensembl:lncRNA